GACGAACGCUGGCGGCGUGCCUAAUACAUGCAAGUAGAACGCACAGUUUAUACCGUAGCUUGCUACACCAUAGACUGUGAGUUGCGAACGGGUGAGUAACGCGUAGGUAACCUGCCUGGUAGCGGGGGAUAACUAUUGGAAACGAUAGCUAAUACCGCAUAAUAUUAAUUAUUGCAUGAUAAUUAAUUGAAAGGUGCAAUUGCACCACUACCAGAUGGACCUGCGUUGUAUUAGCUAGUAGGUGAGGUAACGGCUCACCUAGGCGACGAUACAUAGCCGGCCUGAGAGGGUGAUCGGCCACACUGGGACUGAGACACGGCCCAGACUCCUACGGGAGGCAGCAGUAGGGAAUCUUCGGCAAUGGACGAAAGUCUGACCGAGCAACGCCGCGUGAGUGAAGAAGGUUUUCGGAUCGUAAAGCUCUGUUGUAAGAGAAGAACGGGUGUGAGAGUGGAAAGUUCACACUGUGACGGUAUCUUACCAGAAAGGGACGGCUAACUACGU
rnacentral:rRNA from 1 species